UGUUUUAGUUUUGGUGACUCACCACGUGCAUGUGAGAGAGAAGCAAAGAAAUUAUUUUCUGAAACUUGGUUUGUUGUGUUCACGAGAAAUAGGGAGAUGGAGUUUUGAGUUGUUUUAUUUUCCCCCCUCCUUUGCCACAUGUCCAAUUUUGAUUGGAGACUUUUGUGAUUUUGAAAAAUUUCAAGAAACUCUCUCUGACUAAGCAUUGCCUUUCUCUCUUCUCAAACUU
rnacentral:lncRNA from 1 species